rnacentral:misc_RNA from 1 species
UCCGGUUUGGCACCGGCAGUCUCCCCAGAGUUCCCGGCUUUACCCGCUGGCAACUGAGGACAGGGGUUGCGCUCGUUGCGCCACUUAACCCAACAUCUCACGACACGAGCUGACGACAGCUAUGCAGCACCUCGACUGAUGUCCCUUGCGGGAAAAGCAACUUUCGCCGCCUGUCAUCAGCCGUUCGAGCCCAGGUAAGGUUCUUCGCGUUGCGUCGAAUUAAACCACAUACUCCACCGCUUGUGCGGGCCCCCGUCAAUUCCUUUGAGUUUUAAUCUUGCGACCGUACUCCCCAGGCGGAAUGCUUAAAGCGUUAGCUGCGCCACUAGUGAGUAAACCCACUAACGGCUGGCAUUCAUCGUUUACGGCGUGGACUAC